rnacentral:rRNA from 1 species
AGAGUUUGAUCCUGGCUCAGGAUGCCUGCUAGCGGCAGGCUUAACACAUGCAGGUCGAGGGGCAGCGGGGAGGAAGCUUGCUUUCUCCGCCGGCGACCGGCGCACGGGUGAGUAACACGUAUGCAACCUGCCCCUGUCAGGGGGACAACCCGCCGAAAGGCGGGCUAAACCCGCGUACAUGCCACCGGGGCAUCCCGGAGGCAGGAAAGGCUUCGGCCGGACAGGGAUGGGCAUGCGGCGCAUUAGGCAGUAGGCGGGGUAACGGCCCACCUAACCGACGAUGCGUAGGGGUUCUGAGAGGAAGGUCCCCCACACUGGUACUGAGACACGGACCAGACUCCUACGGGAGGCAGCAGUGAGGAAUAUUGGUCAAUGGUCGGGAGACUGAACCAGCCAAGCCGCGUGAGGGAGGAAGGUACAGAGUAUCGUAAACCUCUUUUGUCAGGGAACAAAGGCGGGGACGUGUCCCCGGAUGAGUGUACCUGAAGAAAAAGCAUCGGCUAACUCCGUGCCAGCAGCCGCGGUAAUACGGAGGAUGCGAGCGUUAUCCGGAUUUAUUGGGUUUAAAGGGUGCGCAGGCGGUCUGUUAAGUCAGCGGUCAAAGCCCGGGGCUCAACCCCGGCCCGCCGUUGAAACUGGCAGUCUCGAGUUGGAGAGAAGUAUGCGGAAUGCGCGGUGUAGCGGUGAAAUGCAUAGAUAUCGCGCAGAACUCCGAUUGCGAAGGCAGCAUGCCGGCUCCACACUGACGCUGAGGCACGAAAGCGUGGGUAUCGAACAGGAUUAGAUACCCUGGUAGUCCACGCAGUAAACGAUGAAUGCUGGCUGUCCGGGGGGAUUGACCCCUGGGUGGCGAAGCGAAAGCGAUAAGCAUUCCACCUGGGGAGUACGCCGGCAACGGUGAAACUCAAAGGAAUUGACGGGGGCCCGCACAAGCGGAGGAACAUGUGGUUUAAUUCGAUGAUACGCGAGGAACCUUACCCGGGCUCAAACGGGGAGUGACUCAGGCAGAGACGCCUGUUUCCCACGGGACACUCCCCGAGGUGCUGCAUGGUUGUCGUCAGCUCGUGCCGUGAGGUGUCGGCUUAAGUGCCAUAACGAGCGCAACCCCCGCGUGCAGUUGCUAACAGAUAACGCUGAGGACUCUGCACGGACUGCCGGCGCAAGCCGCGAGGAAGGCGGGGAUGACGUCAAAUCAGCACGGCCCUUACGUCCGGGGCGACACACGUGUUACAAUGGGUGGUACAGCGGGAAGCCAGGCGGCGACGCCGAGCGGAACCCGAAAUCCACUCUCAGUUCGGAUCGGAGUCUGCAACCCGACUCCGUGAAGCUGGAUUCGCUAGUAAUCGCGCAUCAGCUAUGGCGCGGUGAAUACGUUCCCGGGCCUUGCACACACAGCCCGUCAAG